AUUGAACGCUGGCGGCAGGCCUAACACAUGCAAGUCGAACGAGUGGCGGACGGGUGAGUAAUGUCUGGGAAACUGCCCGAUGGAGGGGGAUAACUACUGGAAACGGUAGCUAAUACCGCGUACCAUCGGAUGUGCCCAGAUGGGAUUAGCUUGUAGGUGAGGUAACGGCUCACAUAGGCGACGAUCCCUAGCUGUUCUGAGAGGAUGACCAGCCACACGGGAACGGAGACACGGUCCAGACUCCUAUGGGAGGCAGCAGUGGGGAAUAUGGCACAAUGUGCGGAAGACUGAUGCAGCCAGGCCGCGUGUAUGAAGAAGGCCUUCGGUUUGUACAGUACUUUCAGCGGGGAGGCGGUAGCCGCAGAAGAAGCAUCCGUUAACACCGUGCCAGCCGCCGCGGUAAUAC
rnacentral:rRNA from 1 species